AUCCUGGCUCAGAGUGAACGCUGGCGGCAGGCCUAAUACAUGCAAGUCGAACGGCAGCACAGCAGAGCUUGCUCUGUGGGUGGCGAGUGGCGGACGGGUGAGGAAUACAUGGGAAUCUGCCCAGUCGUGGGGGAUAACGUAGGGAAACUUACGCUAAUACCGCAUGCGCCCUUCGGGGGAAAGCCGGGGGACCUUCGGGCCUGGCGCGAUUGGAUGAGCCCAUGUCGGAUUAGCUAGUUGGCGGGGUAAAGGCCCACCAAGGCGACGAUCCGUAGCUGGUCUGAGGGGAUGAUCAGCCACACUGGAACUGAGACACGGUCCAGACUCCUACGGGAGGCAGCAGUAGGGAAUAUUGGACAAUGGGCGCAAGCCUGAUCCAGCCAUGCCGCGUGAGUGAAGAAGGCCCUCGGGUUGUAAAGCUCUUUUGUCCGGAAAGAAAAGCGCCGGGUCAAUACCCUGGUGUCCUGACGGUACCGGAAGAAUAAGCACCGGCUAACUUCGUG
rnacentral:rRNA from 1 species